CAAUAGCGUAUAUUAAAGUUGUUGCAGUUAAAAAGCUCGUAGUUGGAUUUCUGGUGGGAGCGAUCGGUCUGGCGCUUAGCGCGAGUACUUGCAUCGUCUCCGGCCAUCCUUGGGGAGAGUCUGUCUGGCAUUAGGUUGUCGGGCAGAGGAUCCUCAUCGUUUACUGUGAAAAAAUUAGAGUGUUCAAAGCAGGCUUAUGCCGUUGAAUGUAUUAGCAUGGAAUAAUAAGAUAGGACUUUGGUACUAUUUUGUUGGUUUGCGCACCAAAGUAAUGAUUAAUAGGGACAGUUGGGGGUAUUCGUAUUCCGUUGUCAGAGGUGAAAUUCUUGGAUUUACGGAAGACGAACUACUGCGAAAGCAUUUACCAAGGAUGUUUUCAUUAAU
rnacentral:rRNA from 1 species